GAAUUGACGGGGACCCGCACAAGCGGUGGAGCAUGUGGUUUAAUUCGAAGCAACGCGAAGAACCUUACCAGGUCUCGACAUCCCGCUGACCGGUCCGUAACGGGGCCUUCCCUUCGGGGCAGCGGAGACAGGUGGUGCAUGGUUGUCGUCAGCUCGUGUCGUGAGAUGUUGGGUUAAGUCCCGCAACGAGCGCAACCCUUAUCCUUAGUAGCCAGCACGUAGAGGUGGGCACUCUGGGGAGACUGCCAGGGACAACUUGGAGGAAGGUGGGGAUGACGUCAAAUCAUCAUGCCCCUUAUGAUCUGGGCUACACACGUGCUACAAUGGCGGCCACAAAGGGAAGCGACCCUGUGAAGGUGAGCGAAUCCCAAAAAAGCCGUCCCAGUUCGGAUUGUAGUCUGCAACUCGACUACAUGAAGCCGGAAUCGCUAGUAAUCGCGAAUCAGCAUGUCGUGGUGAAUACGUUCCCGGGUCUUGUACACACCG
rnacentral:rRNA from 1 species